AGCCUAAACUCGAACAAACGAGCAUGGCAAAAAUCCAUCCCUGGCAUUAAGCUCCUCGUCUGAGCACCAGGGAUGGUCAUAUCUCGAAAGGGAUAUGGGUGGCCGAAAGGCUAUC
rnacentral:sRNA from 1 species